GGUUAAGCGACUAAGCGUACACGGUGGAUGCCUAGGCAAUCAGAGGCGAUGAAGGACGUGCUAAUCUGCGAAAAGCGUCGGUAAGGUGAUAUGAACCGUUAUAACCGACGAUGUCCGAAUGGGGAAACCCAGUGCAAUUCGUUGCACUAUCGUUUGAUGAAUCCAUAGUCAAACGAGGCGAACCGGGGGAACUGAAACAUCUCAGUACCCCGAGGAAAAGAAAUCAACCGAGAUUCCCCUAGUAGCGGCGAGCGAACGGGGAGCAGCCCAGAGUCUUAAUCAG
rnacentral:rRNA from 1 species